rnacentral:rRNA from 1 species
GCUGGCGGCAUGCUUAACACAUGCAAGUCGAACGGUAACAGGCCUAGCUUGCUAGGUGCUGACGAGUGGCGGACGGGUGAGUAACGCGUAGGAAUCUGUCGUAUAGUGGGGGAUAACAUGGGGGAAACUCAUGCUAAUACCGCGUAACAUCUACGGAUUAAAGCUUGGGACUAAUUUAUUAGCCAGGUGCUAUAUGAGGAGCCUGCGUCAGAUUAGCUUGUUGGUGGGGUAAAGGCCUACCAAGGCAAAGAUCUGUAACUGGUCUGAGAGGACGAACAGUCACACUGGAACUGAGACACGGUCCAGACUCCUACGGGAGGCAGCAGUGGGGAAUAUUGGACAAUGGGCGCAAGCCUGAUCCAGCAAUGCCGCGUGUGUGAAGAAGGCCUGCGGGUUGUAAAGCACUUUCAGUAGAGAAGAAAAGCCCAGGGUUAAUACCCCUGAGUCUUGACGUAACCUACAGAAGAAGCACCGGCUAACUCCGUG